CGGUGAACUCAGACUCUCACCGCACCACAGACCGGCUUUGGAGGAGGACUUUCCUGCAGCACAUACAUCCACACAUUCACGUGUGUGAGCUCAUGCACAGCUGUGACAUCGAUCAGUCAUUUAUUAAGAAGAGGAAGCGUGAGAGACGGUGAGAGAGCCUCUUGUUUAUGCAGAUUAAAAGGAGCUAAUCUCAGUGCUAAUUUAUUACUUUUAAAAAUCAAACAUUUUUAUUAUUUUUGACUCGUUAUGAGCUUGCCUAACUAUCUCUGACAAGCAGAUCCGUGUUUGUGAGUUCCCCCGCUGAGGCUGGGUCUCCGGCACAGCGAGGGCGAGGAGGCUAAAUGAAGGACAGUGAGACAGUCGGAGAGAAGGUAAAAACUCUGAAUCAAAGCAGUGAGCAUGAAACAAAAAGCCCCGCUGCGGGCAACAAGACGGUGUGCUUUUCGUUGGAAGCUGUCGUCUGCAGUGUUCCAACUUUCACUGAGCGGCAUGAGCAAAUCUGACAACCUCAUGCGUAAAGAACGAGAAGAGAAUCGCUUCUUAAAUACCCCCCCCCAAAAAACAUAAAAAAAAUAUUUAUUAAAGCUCAAGUCUGACUCAUCUAGGUUGUCGUGUACAGACUCUCCAACAAUAUUGCAUGACAAAAAGAAUCAGCGCAGGGCAGAGAGUACUGGAAAGAUGAAAUGUUACAGGAUGGGUUUGGAGGAAUAUGGGGAGACUAUGUUUCUGUUCUGUAUAUUUCAUCUUUACAUAUUUUAUAUUCAGGGUGCAUUGAUGGAAAAACAUCCAACAGUUGUUGAGAUAUCUCAGUCUCAACCAAGCAGCAUCCUCCGGUGUUGAAGAUGAAGCCAAUACUGAGGUGAUGAAAUCCUUCAGUUCCAGCAGCGGGCAGCACCGCCGACAUCUGGAGUCCAAAGACCGAGGAGUCCCGGCGAAAACCCGUCUUGGACACAAAGUGCUGACUCAGGAUGCAGCGUGACUGAUCACCAAGCUGUCGCACUGUUGAGCCCCGAUGGAGACCGACAAGCCCUGUGACGGCCGGCUGACUCACACGUGCACACAUGCAUGAAGACUCUCACACAGAAAGUGUUGAAUAGCUGGACGUAUCACAUUCUUCACCCGUUUUCUGAGAUAACAGGAAAUGAUUUAGGUCAGAGAUACUGAAGUUUAUGAGAGGCAGAGGCAUAAAACUGUGUAGAGCCAAGACUAACACAGUGUGUCAGUAAAACACUGAUGCGGAUGUGAACUUUUUUUUUAUGUCAGAUUACGAAAGCCACAAAAUUGUUCUGCAGAAA